GGAUAGCUCAGCUGGUAGAGCAUAAGACUUAAUCUUAGGAUUGUGGGUUCGAACCCCACGUUGGGCA
rnacentral:tRNA from 1 species